GACGAACGCUGGCGGCGUGCUUAACACAUGCAAGUCGAACGGAAAGGCCCUGCUUUUGUGGGGUGCUCGAGUGGCGAACGGGUGAGUAACACGUGAGUAACCUGCCCUUGACUUUGGGAUAACUUCAGGAAACUGGGGCUAAUACCGGAUAGGAGCUCCUGCUGCAUGGUGGGGGUUGGAAAGUUUCGGCGGUUGGGGAUGGACUCGCGGCUUAUCAGCUGGUUGGUGGGGUAGUGGCUUACCAAGGCUUUGACGGGUAGCCGGCCUGAGAGGGUGACCGGCCACAUUGGGACUGAGAUACGGCCCAGACUCCUACGGGAGGCAGCGGUGGGGAAUAUUGCACAAUGGGCGGAAGCCUGAUGCAGCAACGCCGCGUGCGGGAUGACGGCCUUCGGGUUGUAAACCGCUUUCGCCUGUGACGAAGCGUGAGUGACGGUAAUGGGUAAAGAAGCACCGGCUAACUACGU
rnacentral:rRNA from 1 species